rnacentral:tmRNA from 1 species
GGGGCCGAACCAGGAUCGACGUGUGUUCAAAGACGAUGCUUUCUUCCGGGCUGAGUAACCCGUUAAAGGCUCAAAACCAAUAAGUGCUAACGAUAACGAAGCACUCGCUCUUGCUGCCUGACCGAUAAGCCUCACGGCCUAAGGUUAGACAAAUAGAACGCGGUUCGGACCGAACCGGGCAACAGAAUCGGAAACCAGCGGCUGGGGACGAGCCGGGCAACAGAAUCGUCCCACC